rnacentral:rRNA from 1 species
GACGAACGCUGGCGGCGUGCCUAAUACAUGCAAGUCGAACGCUGAAGGAGGAGCUUGCUUCUCUGGAUGAGUUGCGAACGGGUGAGUAACGCGUAGGUAACCUGCCUGGUAGCGGGGGAUAACUAUUGGAAACGAUAGCUAAUACCGCAUAAUAGUAGAUGUUGCAUGACAUUUGCUUAAAAGGUGCAAUUGCAUCACUACCAGAUGGACCUGCGUUGUAUUAGCUAGUUGGUGGGGUAACGGCUCACCAAGGCGACGAUACAUAGCCGACCUGAGAGGGUGAUCGGCCACACUGGGACUGAGACACGGCCCAGACUCCUACGGGAGGCAGCAGUAGGGAAUCGUCGGCAAUGGACGGAAGUCUGACCGAGCAACGCCGCGUGAGUGAAGAAGGGUUUCGGAUCGUAAAGCUCUGUUGUAAGAGAAGAACGAGUGUGAGAGUGGAAAGUUCACACUGUGACGGUAUCUUACCAGAAAGGGACGGCUAACUACGUG